UAGGGGUCUAGAAGACAAGAAAAGAAAAUGUAUCAAACUCUGAUGUAAUAGUAAGAUUGUAAUUUGGAAGUAAAAAUGUAAACAGAAACUGUGAUGUAUAACGUGAUUGUGAAAUGAAUGCUUGUAAUAGCAAGUAGAUUAUGUAUUUGAUACUUCCUUAUGCAAUCUGGAUUGAUAUCCGUUCCUUGUUGGAACAUUCGUUGAUUGUUUGGAUUGCGACGCCUUGGACGUACUGGGGAGACUCUAUCCGCGUAC
rnacentral:lncRNA from 1 species